rnacentral:rRNA from 1 species
GAAGGGGGCUAGCGUUGUUCGGAAUUACUGGGCGUAAAGCGCGCGCAGGCGGUCCUUUAAGUCAGGGGUGAAAGCCCAGAGCUCAACUCUGGAACUGCCUUUGAAACUAGAGGACUUGGGUACGGGAGAGGUGAGUGGAAUUCCGAGUGUAGAGGUGAAAUUCGUAGAUAUUCGGAAGAACACCAGUGGCGAAGGCGGCUCACUGGCCCGUUACCGACGCUCAGGCGCGACAGCGUGGGGAGCAAACAGGAUUAGAUACCCUGGUAGUCCACGCCGUAAACGAUGGAUGCUAGCCGUUGGUAAGCAUGCUUAUCAGUGGCGCAGCUAACGCAUUAAGCAUCCCGCCUGGGGAGUACGGCCGCAAGRUUG